rnacentral:sRNA from 1 species
UUAAAUAACAACAUGAUGUGUGUUAAUGUUAUUUUGGAUGGGGAGGGGGGAUGUCGAAAAAAUAGGUAACUUUCAAACUUAUGACGAAAAUACAUGAACUUUCGAAAUGUCAUUUAAAUCUCAAAGUUUAGUUUAAUUUUAUAAUAAAAUGGUUAAGUUUUGUUGACUAAGUCAUUUUAGGCAUACUGUUAAAUUUUUGUUGACUAAAAAAAUAAGGGAGUUAAUUUUCCGUAACGUUUGGUUUAGAACAAUCCCUUAUAUGUAUUUAGAAAAAUACCUUAUAAACUUUCUGUAACUCUAUGUUGUGCUUGUUUCUCUCUUUAACGGUUUAUUUAUUUUUCAAACGUUACGAAAAGUUAACUCCGUCAUAUUUUUGUUAGCAUAAAUUUAUCGAUAUGCCUAAAAUGACACAGUAAACAAAACUUAACUAUUUUUUUCAUAAAAUCAAACCAAACUUUAGAAAUUUAAUGAUACUUCGAAAGUCUAUGUUUUUCCGUCUCAAAUUUAAAAGUUAACGAUUUUUUUGAUAUUUUUCCAUUUAUUUUGUUCCGUCUAAUGAUGUUAAUAAAGGCCACUAGAUGAAUAAUGUU